rnacentral:rRNA from 1 species
GAUGAACGCUGGCGGCGUGCCUAAUACAUGCAAGUCGAGCGAACAGACGAGGAGCUUGCUCCUCUGACGUUAGCGGCGGACGGGUGAGUAACACGUGGAUAACCUACCUAUAAGACUGGGAUAAGUUCGGGAAACCGGAGCUAAUACCGGAUAAUAUAUUGAACCGCAUGGUUCAAUAGUGAAAGACGGUUUUGCUGUCACUUAUAGAUGGAUCCGCGCCGCAUUAGCUAGUUGGUAAGGUAACGGCUUACCAAGGCAACGAUGCGUAGCCGACCUGAGAGGGUGAUCGGCCACACUGGAACUGAGACACGGUCCAGACUCCUACGGGAGGCAGCAGUAGGGAAUCUUCCGCAAUGGGCGAAAGCCUGACGGAGCAACGCCGCGUGAGUGAUGAAGGUCUUCGGAUCGUAAAACUCUGUUAUUAGGGAAGAACAAAUGUGUAAGUAACUAUGCACGUCUUGACGGUACCUAAUCAGAAAGCCACGGCUAACUACGUG